rnacentral:lncRNA from 1 species
AUGGUUAAAAUAUGAACAUUAUUAGCAGCAAAGAACAGUGAAUAUAAGUGUUUUACUGUGACAGUGAAGGUGGAGUUUGGAGUCUAGAGGUUGUUGAGGACGAUGUUGGCGAGAUUCAAACCUUCACAUGUGGUGUCAUCAUCAGAGAUCUUGGAAGAAAAAGACCAAGAGAACCCUGAGGUGGCAGAGAACCCAACGCUCACCCACUCCGGAAGAAGGCUCUCGAGCUCCACUCUCUGAGAGACGAUGUAGUUCGUUGGCUGAGAAGGGUAAACCAGAGAAGCCACCAAGAGCUUCGUGGAGGACUCAUAGGUGAUCUGAACCUCCGCGUUUUCUCCGUUGACCAAUUCCCACGGCGUCGUUUUCAUAGACUCGAUGGAGUUCACGUCGAUGCCAAUAUGACGGCCUUCGGGGUCCCACUCCUGGUUGACGAAGGUGUCGAACUCCACAGCCACAGUAUGGGCUUUGCUGUUGUAUUUGUCGCUGUCGAAAAGACCUAGAAAACCGCCUUGCUUUGUUGGGAACGAGAGCAAAGCCAAGGCCAUCGGCGGCUUUUGCUUUGUUGGGAGCGUGGAUAUUGAAUUUGAAGUUUGUGGUGAAGCUGGCGACUUUUCCGGUGGCGCUGUCUUAGAUUUGGAUGGGGGCGGAGUAGAAGGCGCGGCCCAGAGAGGCCACCGUGGGUUCUCCGUUGCUAUUAACAUUGGUUAGUCGUAACUGGCCGGAGGAUGAGACGGAGGCAUCGCCUUGGAGGAUAAGGUUGGUUUCGUUGAACCUAUCGAAGCUGAAGGAGGUUUCGCUGGCUGAGUUUGCGUGGCUGAGAAGCACAAGGAAGAGGCUAGGUUGAGUAAGUUGGAGGAAGCCAUGUAUGCAUUCAUGCAUUAACCAUCACUCUCUUCUCUAUUUAUACAACAACAAAUGCAAAAUCUUUCCAACUUUUUUAUUUCAUUCUAUUAUUAAAUACGUGUUUUCGAAUGAUUAACUUUUUUCUUUUAUAAUAUUAUUUGAGAGAGAAAUAAGAAUAUUAAAAUAAGAAUUAAGCAACGAUUGAUUUUACAACGAUUCAACGUUUUGCUACGAUUCUUAAUUACAAUGUGUCGAUAACUCUUUUUAAGUAUUUGGGUAUGCUGGUAGGGGGUGUCAUUGGAGAGGUGCUUUUUGAGCGGACAAAAAUUCCAAAAAUCCACCAUUUAUUAUUAAUCUUUUUUAUUAUUUAGGUAUUUUUCAGGUAUUUUAAGGUUUUAGUUCUCACAGUUACCCUAAUUAGAAAAUUCUAAUUUUUUUUUCAUGAUUUUUUAGUUAUAAAUUAGUGAUAUAUCAAAACCCUAUAAAUUAGUGAUAAUUCAUAUUUUUCGUGAAGGGAAUGCGUGUGCUAAUAAGUUGGCUAAUUUAGGAUUUAUUCAUAGAGAAUCAUUUCAUUGGUAUAAUAGACUCCCAGCUAGUCUGUUCUUAGAAUUCUUUAUGAAUAGGUAUAAUCUACCUAUUUAUCGUUUUUGUUAACAUAUGGGUUUUGGUCUAGUCCCGUCAUAUUUUUGUAUUUUCUUUCUUUUUUCUUUUUUUUUAAUAAUAUUUUUUUUAUGUGAUGACAAAUGAUUGUUGUUACUUGAGGUGUCAGCUUAGCUGAGAUGUCAAGUUGCAUAGUGAUGCCUAACACGAAAACUUUAUAUAAAAAAAAACCCUAUGGACAUAUAUAUGUCAGAUUUGUUAGAAUUUGCAUAUGGAGAUCAUUGUAAGAGCAUGACUGGAAGCAAAUAAUAAUAUUUAACUUAUUCUUUAUAAUUUUUUAACACUAAUUAAUGUGAAUCCUUUUUCCCGCCAUAGAAUAUGUGAGAAAUGGGCCACGUAUUUCCUUAAUUUCUAUAACUCUAAGAUAAAUAAUCAAUAAUAUAGGAAUUAGAUAGAUAGAUAGGAAUAUAUAUGUUAUUAGUGUUUGUAAUACAUCUUUAUCAAUGUAUAUAAUUUGAUUAUCUGAAUAUAUGUAUCAGGGCUAACUUAGUUUUAAUUGUACAAGUCAAUUUAGAUAGGAUUAACAUUAAACAGAAUGAACUAAACAAAAAAUUCUCAUUUAAAAUGGCGGCUUUUACCAUAACUGCCAUUUUAUAUCUUUCAAGAAGGUAUAAAUGACGACUUUUUAUCAUAACCGUCAUUUUAUAUCUUUAAGGAGGAUCUAAAACGGUGACUUUUUACCAUAACUGUUGUUUUAUAUCUUUUAAAAAGGUCUAAAACGACGACUUUUACCAUAAUUGCUGUUUUAGACUGAAUAUAACACAACGAUUAUAUAAUCUCUGUCUUUGCUUGAAAAGAAUAGACUAUAUGUUGAAAGACAACGCUACAAGAACCGUUGUUUUAAUACUAAAAUGAUCGUCGUGAUUUAAUUUUUUUCAUCAGUAAUUGUAAAGUUUCUUUUUAGAGUGUUGAUAAACAUAUAUCGAUUUGAAAUGAAUAGAGUUAGAAAGUAAAAAAAAAAUACAAGAAAAAUGUUAAAUAAUGUCAUAGAAAUAGAAAUGGAAGAGAAGUGUAAAGAAAUUUAAAUAAAAAUUAGAUGUGAGAGUAAGUUAGUUUAUAAAUUGAUUUGUUUAAUGAUUUAAUAACUGUAAAAAUCAAAUAAAAGUAAAUUAUAGUAAUAUGUACUAAGAUUUAAUGUAAUUACACCCAUGUUUCCUUUUUUUUUCUCUGUUAUACUUUAACUUAUAAUAAUCCUUUCCAUUAUUAUAAACUUUUUUAAAAUUACAUAUUUUUCAAAUUAUGCACUAAUAAUAUAAUAAUACACAUGCUGAAUAAUACGCAGUGUAAAUAUAUGAGCUCCUAUUUUAUUUAUGCUCCCAUUUGUGACAGAUGAAGAUUAUUAGCAGGAAAGAAGAGUGAGAGUGAGUAUAAGCAGGGUUUUACUGUCACAGUGAAGGUGGUUUUUGGAAUCUAGAGGAUCUUGUUGAGGAGGAUGUUGGCGAGAUUCGAAUCUUCAGAUGUGGUGUGACAGGAGAACUUGGAAGAAAAAGACCAAGAGAGCAGGUCGUGCGUUUCACUGGACACGUUAGAUGACCCUGAGGUGGAAGAGAACCCAACGCUCACAUUUAAUAAUAAUAUUAUGUGAUACCUCACAAUUAUUUAUCUUAUUAAUUGAUCAAUUACCAUAAUUAUCCUAUUAUAUUAUUGGUAAUUACUAUUAUCAUAAAUAAUUAGGGUUUCUUCUUGGGUGUAUUAUAAAUAGAGAUUACCAGACAACUAAAGAGACACUCUUAUAUUCUAACAUCACACGGUCGAAACUCAUUCCCUAAAGGGAUUUUCGAGCCUCUCAUCUCUUUGUCUCUCUGCUCACAUAAUUCCAUUUUAAGCGAUACACUCUAAAGGGAAACCCGAUCAAGAUCAUGUCUUCGUCCCUCAGCCAUGCGAUCACGGGUUUACCAAGUAUUAUCUAAUCAUUAUUCUCGUUUCAUUAUAUGAUUGAGGAAUCCUAAUCCAACAUGUGGUAUCAGAGUCAGGUUUAUGUUGUUUAAUCGAUUCUUCUUUUGUUUUCCCUAAAUUUGGAAGAAACGAGGAUUUUGAUUCAACCUAUUGAUUUUCGAUGUUUUUAUUUUGGUAUAUUAUUGAACCACUUAUUUUCGAAAAUCCACCUUGAUAUCAUAAAAUAAAUUUUAAUUUUUUCGAGAUCCAUAAUUAUUUUAAGAUUUUGAAAAUUAAAAUUUAAUAUUAAUGUUAUGUGUUCUUCAUAAUUUUCGUGAGUAUUCCCUUAUUUGGAAUGGAAUUAAUUUUGAUUAUAUGUUCAUCAUCAUUAUUUGUUGUUCGUAUGAAUUUUUGAAAAUUAUGAAUAAAGAAUUUUCAAAAAUUAAUUAUUCCCUUAAUUAGGAAAUUUUGAAAAUAAUAUUUUUCCUUAAUUCAAAUUUUCGAAAUACAAUUGAUUCCCUUAAUUAGGAAUGGAUUUGAUUUGAUUUGAUUGUGUUUUUCUAAAAAAAUAAAUAAAAAUUGAUAUCUUAGUCUCCACGUUUUUCCUUAUUUAGGAUAGUAUAUUCUUGCCUUAUUAAUUUUCGGGUAUUAUUAUUAUUAUUACUAUUUUCGAAAAUAGCAGUCGUGUCAAACUUGGAAACAUAUCAAUCUAAUUAAAAUUUUGAAGACCAAAUCUAAAAUCAAAUCCUUAAUAUUCCGCUACUCACUUAUCGAGUUUACGAGUAACAUAUUUACGCGUUUCCUUUUAUUUAUCGAAUUAAAUAUGGUAAAUCUCAUGAUACCGUAAUUAUGUUUUAAAAAAAAUACUUAUUUUGUUAAACUCUUAAAACAAAAAUAUUAAGUUUGACAAAAUUAAAAUUAAAUUUUUUGCUUAAACUUAAUAACAGGAGUCUCCCUUCUGUCCAACGAUGAUGGGUUAUGUCUUGUUAUUUUAGUCUAAUUAAGCACCUUCACUUACUUGUGAGUACACUUAAUUAUUAAAUAUUCGCAUGACAUUUGCCUAAAAACACAAUUAUUUCUUAUUUCUAUUCUGUCCAACGAUGUUUGAUGCACUUGUGUUUUGCAAACUUAAUAUGUGCAUAAGCUUAAAUGUUCAAUUCUGUCCAAAGAUGAUGUGUCACAUUCUUAUUGCACAUACCUUACUUAUAAUUGUUCAUUAUUCUUAAAUAAUUGGUAAUUAACCAAAGUGAAAGCUGAUUGUUUAAGUAGAACCUAAUCUAGUCUAUUAUUUUGAUGUUAUAAUAGAUUUUAUCACAGCUUCAUUAUCAUAAUGGUUCUUACUUAUGCCUGCUUUAGAUCUAAGUUUCCAAAUGUCACUCUAACUUUUUCCUUAGCCUAAGUAUCUUAAUUCGUCGUCUAACCAGCCCCUAAUAUGGAAAUUGAGACCUUGACUGGUGAAAAUCAUUCUUCUUGGAAAGAUUCCUUGAUGCUNNNNNNNNNNNNNNNNNNNNNNNNNNNNNNNNNNNNNNNNNNNNNNNNNNNNNNNNNNNNNNNNNNNNNNNNNNNNNNNNNNNNNNNNNNNNNNNNNNNNNNNNNNNNNNNNNNNNNNNNNNNNNNNNNNNNNNNNNNNNNNNNNNNNNNNNCAAUCAUUAGAGGAGGCAUUCCUGAUUCACCUAACGCUAAGGCUUAUCUAGCUUCUGUGGAGGAACAAUUUCAAGGAACCUCUAAGGCUCAUGCUAGUACUCUUAUCUUGAAGUUGGUGACUACAAAAUAUGACGGGCGCACCGGCAUUCGUGAACACAUCCUGAUGAUGAGCGACAUGGCCCGUAAACUUAAGGGAUUAGCCAUGGAGAUCAGUGAAGGUUUCCUAGUCCACUUCAUUAUGACUUCUCUUCCUUCUGCGUUUGAAGCCUUCAAAGUCAACUAUAAUACUCAGAAGGACAAAUGGUCCAUGAGUGAGUUGAUUGCUAUGACUGUUCAAGAAGAAGAGCGCCUGAAGUUGGAGAAACCAGAUGUUGCUUACCUCGUGGCUGCUGAGUCGAAGAAGCGGAAGGGCAAAUUCCAUAAAAAGGAAUCUAAUAAGGUCCCUAAAACUGAUGCAAGUGCACCCUCCAGCUCUAACAAAUUCACUAGCAAGUUCUACUGCAAGUUCUGCCGCAAGGUAGGACAUAAGCAGUCUGAGUGCUCAAGCUUUAAGGAGUGGUUGGCUAAGAAAGGUAAUCAUCUAAAUAUGAUAAUUGAGUCCUUUAAUUUAAAUGUUCCAACUAAUACUUGGUGGUUUGACUCUGGUUCUAUGGUUCAUGUGACCAAUUCAAUCCAGGGAUUCCUUACAAUCCAGAAGCUGGAAAGAAACCAAAGAACACUUAAGAUGGGGAAUGGACAAGAACUAUUUGUCGAAGCUGUCGGAAUCUUAGAAUUACUUAUGAAAACUGGAAAAUGUAUUAAACUUUAUGAUACCUUAUAUAUUCCCGAAAUUACUCAGAAUCUUGUAUUAGGACCAAAGUUAGACAUUGAUGGUUUUUAUGUUUCCCAUGGUCAUGGCAAACUUACUAUUUCUUUAAAUUCUCAAUUGUUUGGUACUGGUUUUCUGGAUAACGGUCUCUAUAAGUUAGAACUAGAUGAUAACUUCUCCAAAUCUUUGUUAUCAUAUAAUAUUAAUGAGAACUUAACAAAGACCAAGAGAAAACGAGACUUAGAAACUUCAUCCAUGUUGUGGCAUCAACGUUUAGGCCACAUUUCACGAGAUCGCUUAUCUCGACUUGUGAAGGAUGAAGUCUUACCAUCUCUCAAUUUCACUGAUUUUGGAACAUGUGUCAAAUGCCUCAAAGGCAAAAUGACAUCCACGACUAAGAAAGGCAAAAUGACAUCCACGACUAAGAAAAAAAAAUACAAGAAAAAUAUUAAAUAAUGUCAUAGAAAUAGAAAUGGAAGAGAAGUGUAAAGAAAUUUAAAUAAAAAUUAGAUGAGAGAGUAAGUUAGUUUAUAUUGAUUUCUUUAGUGAUUUAAUAACUGUAAAUAAGAAAGAGUAAAUUAUAGUAAUAUUUACUAAGAUUCAAUGAAGUUACACCAAUGUUUCCUUUUUUUAAUAUGUUAUACUUUAAUUUAUAAUAAUCCUGUCCAUUACUAUAAAAAUUUUAAAAAUUACAUAUUUUUCAAAUUAUGCACUAAUAACACGCAUAUAUGGUCAAACAGAAUAAACUAAAGCAAAAAAUUCUCAUUUAAAAUAGCGGCUUUUAUCAUAACGGUCGUUCUAUAUCUUUGAAGAUGGUAUAAAAUGAUGAGUUUUUAGCAUAACUGCCAUUUUAUAUCUUUCAGGAGGAUUUAAAACAACGAUUUUUUAGCAUAAUUGUCGUUUUAUAUCUUUAAAAAAUGCCUAAAAUGAAGACUUUUACCAUAAUCGUUAUUUUAGACUGAAUAUAACACGACGAUUAUAUAACCGUUGUCUUUACUUAAAGAGAAUGGACUUCAUGCUGAAAGACAGCGGUAUAAGAAUCGCUCAUUCAUGCUGAAAGACAGCGGUAUAAGAAUUGCUCAUUUAGUGCUGAAAUGACCGUUGUCAUUUAGCUUUUUUGCACCAAUAAUUAUAAAGUUUAUUUUUAGAGUGGUGGUGAUAAACAUAUAUCGAUGUGAGAAUAAGUUAGUUUAUAUUGAUUUGUAUAGUGAUUUAAUAACUGUAAAAGUCGAAUAAGAAAGAGUAAAUUAAAGUAAUAUUUUCUUAUGUUUAAUGUAAUUUAAACCAAUGUUUUUUUUUUCUAUGUUAUACUUUAACUUAUACUAAUCCUUUCCAUUAUUAUAAACUUUUUAAAAAUUACAUAUUUUUUAUUUUUCAAAUUAUGCACUAACAAUACGAAUAUGCAUGGUCAAUAAUACGCAGUGUAAAUUGUGUAAAUAUAUGAGCUCCCAUUUUAUUUAUUUAUUUUAGUUUGUGUGACAAAUGAACAUUAUUAGUAGCAAAGAAGAGUGAAGAGUGACUAUAAGUAGCGUUACCAUGAGACUAUGUUACUAUAUGAGACUAUGAGGUAAUAUGGCCUGAAAAAUGUUGAAGGAACUUGUCAAAGACUCAUAGACAAAGUCUUCAAGGGGAUUGGCCGGAACAUAAGGGAAAUGGUCGGAACGAUUUACGUGGACGACAAACUCAUGUGCCCAACACAUAAAGAUUUGAAAGAACUCUUUGAAGCUAUUAGGCUAUGAUGUUCAGACACUUCUCUUAAAUGAUGUGUCGGUGGUAGAUACUCAUAUCGGACACCGACAUUCGUAUGACACUUGUAGGACACGUAUUCGUGAAAUGUCCAAUUCAAAAAGUAUUUGUUGGAUUUUUGACAAUUUUAAUACAAUUCUAACAGAAUUUUAAAAAGGAAAAAUACAUUAAUUUUCUAAAAACUCAAACUUAUUGUAUAAAUUUUUAUUAUGAUUAUAAAAAUAAGAAACAAAUCAUUUUGAAGUAGUCAUGAAAAACAUUUUUUUCUCUUUUCUCCAAAAAACAAUCUGUAACAUACUUGUGUACAUAAAUCUUUAUUAUCAAUUUAUAUAAUUUAUAAUUAUAUAAUAUAUAGAUUCGUGUUUUCAUAUCCUACAUUUUAAAUAUUUAUUUUAAAUAUUUUCCGUAUCUUUACGUUUGUGUCCUUGUUUUAUCGGUGUCCGUGUUAUACAGCUCUUAAGUGAAUGAACAUGCGGCUAAAUCCUGAAAAGUUUGCGUUCAGGAAUAUAAGUUAUUGGGUUUAGGGUUUAAUCUCGAGAAAUGUAGGGCGAUAGAGAUAACAAGAUGAUCAAAAAUACAAAAAAAAGAAGAAGAGUAAAAUAGAGUAAACUCCAUUAUGUUAUUAUUUUGGAAAACUUUUCUUCAACAGUCCAAAGUUUGGAGUAAAAAACAAGCAUUUGACAGCUCCUUUUAAUAAUAUAAUAAUAUAUGAGCUCCCAUUUUAUUUUCUGUGACAGAGAAACAUUAUUAGCAGGAAAGAACACUGAGUGAAAGCAGUGUUUUAGUGUCACAGGGAAGGUGGAGUUUGGAGUCUAGAGGAUUUGGUUGAGGACCAAGUUGGCGAGAUUCAAAGCUUCAGAUGUGGUGCCAUCGGAGAGCUUGGAAGCAAAAGACCAAGAGAGGACGUCGUUCGUUUCAACGUUCCCUUUAGUAAUCCCAGUGGUGGCAGAGAACCCAACGCUCACCCACUCGGGAAGAACGCUCUUCAGGUCCACUGUGUCAGAGACGGUGAAGCUUGUUUUCAGAGAAGGGUAAACCAGAGAAGCCACCAAGAGCUUCGUGGAGGACUCAUAGGUGAUAUGAACCUCGGCGUUUUCUCCGUUGACAAAAUCCCACCGCGUCGUUUUGAUAGACUUGAUGGAGUUCACGUCGAUGCCAAUAUGACGCUCUCUGGGGUCCCAGUCCUUGUUGUAGAGGGUGUCGAACUCCACAGCCACAGUAUGGAAAUUGCUGUUGCUGCCGUCGAAAAGACCUAGAAAACCGCCUUUGUCUUUGGGCUGAGAGCCCACGGGGACGAGAGCAAAGGCAAGGCCAUCGGCGGGUCCUGCAUUGUUGGGAACCUGUAUAUUGAAUGUGAAGUUGGUGUCGAAGCUGGCGACGUUGCCGGUGGUGUAGUCCCAGAUUUGGAUGGGGGCGGAGUAGAAGGCGCGGCCCAGAGAGCCCACCGUGGGUUCUCCGUUGCUGUUAACAUUGGUUAGUCGUAACUGGCCGGAGGAUGAGACGGAGGCAUCGCCUUGAAGGAUAAGGUUGGUUUCGUUGAACCUAUCGAAGCUGAAGAAGGUUUGGCUGGCUGAGUUUGCGUGGGUGAGAAGCACAAGGAAGAGGGCUAGGGAGAGUAAGUUGGAGGAAGCCAUGUAUGCAUUCAUGCAUUAACCAUCACUCUCUUCUCUAUUUAUACAACAACAACUGCACUCUCUCUCUCUACUUUAUGGAUUCAACAAAUGCAAAAUCUUUCCAACUUUUUUAUUUCAUUCUAUUAUUAAAUACGUGUUUUCGAAUGAUUAACUUUUUUCUUUUAUAAUAUUAUUUGAGAGAGAAAUAAGAAUAUUAAAAUAAGAAUUAAGCAACGAUGGCAAUGCAUCCACGUCAUCCAAACAUUGAAAUAAUAUGAAAUAAUUACUUUAAAUUUAAAGAGAUAUUUAUGGAGAGAAGCGGUUGGCACGUAGUAGUGGGAUGUGAGACGUGUCAUAGUGUGAAAGCCACAGUGGAAAGUGACAGGAGACAUGGGUGAAGAGGAGGUAGAAAAAAUAUGAAAUAAGAAAGAGUAAAUUGUACUAAUAUUUCCAAAGGUUUAAUGUAAUUACACAAAUUUUUCCUUUUUUUUUUCUUUUUUUUCUAUGCUAUACUUUAACUUAAUAUAAUACAAAACUCUAAAAGAUAUAAUAUCUUGAAUGUACGUGAUGAUUAACUUUAGUAAAAAUCAAAAUAUUACCGUUACAAUUAAAGAUAAAAAAAGUGGUUUCAACCGGCCAGAGUUUAUUCUGGUACUUCCAAUAAUCUUAUAUGGUUAAAAAGUUGAAAUAAAAAAUAAUUUAAAUACACAUUUUUUUAUUAUUAUUUUUAUUUUUUAGUACGUCAAAAAUAAAAUAAAUAAAAUAUUUUAAAAAUUGAUAUAAGAAGGUGUUAUUAUUAUGGUAUCCUAUGUGUGUGAUUAUGUAAUAAGAUAGAAAGAGGUGGAAUUGGAAGAAGGAUGACCAUUGAAAAAAAGAUAAGAUAAGGUUUGUUUGAUGAGUGGGCAGAAUGUUGUGUUGGUGUGAAGCAGUUUGGCAGUAGCAAUGCAGGAGGAAGGACAAUCCAACGCACCAAACUGUACCACCUUCAUGAAAACUAUGCACACAAUCAAUUUCAACUAUUUUGUGGAUAUCAUUUUUCAAUUACAAUUGAAAAAAUUUGAUAGUUUUUUUUAUCAGUAAUAAAUAAAUUAAAUAAAAUAUUUUAUGAGUGUUUCAAUUCUUAUAAAAAAAUAUAUAUAAAGUUUUUUAACACUCAACCAACUGGAAAUCCAACCGAUACUGCAACAUAUCAACUAAAUUGACAUAGACAAGAAUGAAGAAAUGAAUAUUGUUGGGAAAAACGGGUAAUUUUCCCACUAAAACAAAACCCUAACAGAGCUACCCGACAAAUAAUAUUGAAUAAAUAAAGCGGAAUAAUAAAAGAGAUAAAGAGAAAAAAGACACCCGAAUAUUGUUAACGGAGUUAGCCUAAUCUCCGAGCACAGCUGAAAUAACUUGCUUUUAUUAUUAUGUGAGAAAAUAUUACAAAUUGAGAUAUCUAACAGAAGGAGGAGAGUUUAAUUUAUAACCCUCAAAACUCCUUCCCAAACAAUGAACCCAUCGAUGUGGGACUUGGGAUUAAGCCAAAAUCAACAAAUCUCCACCUUGGCUUAAUUUCAAGUCCCACCUAAAACAAAUCUUCUAAAAAACAUAACAAAAACAAACUUUGCAGUGUUUCAAAUUUGCGCCUCCGGGCGCCAACUUCAAAUGUGCAAGAUAUUAACCAAGUUUAAAUAGUGUUCAAACUUGGUCCUUGUAACCACCUUGGUGAGCAUAUCUGCAAGAUUCUCCAUAGUGUGAAUCUUCUGGAGAACAAUCUCCUCUUCUUCGAGAAUAUCACGCACAAAGUGAUAACGAACAUCAAUGUGCUUUGUCCGUGCAUGAAAGACUUGAUUCUUUGCUAAAUGAAUAACACUCUAACUGUCAGAAUAUAACUCAAGUUGUUUCUUACCAACUCCCAAGUCUUUAAGCAACCCAUGAAGCCAAAUUGCUUCCUUCACAGCCUUUGUAAUCGCCAUAUACUCUGCCUCUGUCGUAGACAAAACUACCGUAGACUGCAAGGUAGACUUCCAACUAACUGACACUUUUGCUAAAGUGAACAAAUAGCCAGUUGUAGACCGUCGCUUAUCCAAAUCACUUGCAUAAUCAGAAUCACAAUAUCCAACUAUGCAUUGACCAAGUGAUUCAUCUUGCUCAAAUGUCAAUCCAACAUCUAAGGUAUUUUGGAGGUACCGUAGAAUCCAUCUCACAGCUUGCCAAUGACCCUUGCCCAGAUUAUGCAUGUACCUGCUAACAACACUCACAGCCUAUGAAAUAUCUGGUCUUGUACACACCAUUGCAUACAUCAAGCUUCCAACUGCAUUUGCAUAUGGGACUUUCGCCAUGUAUUCUCGUUCUUCACCAGUCGUUGGAGAUAAACGGCUACUCAAUUUCAGAUGAGGAGCAAGUGGGGUACUUACAGGUUUUGUAUCUUCGUGUAUACCAAAACGUUGUAGUACCUUCNNNNNNNNNNNNNNNNNNNNNNNNNNNNNNNNNNNNNNNNNNNNNNNNNNNNNNNNNNNNNNNNNNNNNNNNNNNNNNNNNNNNNNNNNNNNNNNNNNNNNNNNNNNNNNNNNNNNNNNNNNNNNNNNNNNNNNNNNNNNNNNNNNNNNNNNNNNNNNNNNNNNNNNNNNNNNNNNNNNNNNNNNNNNNNNNNNNNNNNNNNNNNNNNNNNNNNNNNNNNNNNNNNNNNNNNNNNNNNNNNNNNNNNNNNNNNNNNNNNNNNNNNNNNNNNNNNNNNNNNNNNNNNNNNNNNNNNNNNNNNNNNNNNNNNNNNNNNNNNNNNNNNNNNNNNNNNNNNNNNNNNNNNNNNNNNNNNNNNNNNNNNNNNNNNNNNNNNNNNNNNNNNNNNNNNNNNNNNNNNNNNNNNNNNNNNNNNNNNNNNNNNNNNNNNNNNNNNNNNNNNNNNNNNNNNNNNNNNNNNNNNNNNNNNNNNNNNNNNNNNNNNNNNNNNNNNNNNNNNNNNNNNNNNNNNNNNNNNNNNNNNNNNNNNNNNNNNNNNNNNNNNNNNNNNNNNNNNNNNNNNNNNNNNNNNNNNNNNNNNNNNNNNNNNNNNNNNNNNNNNNNNNNNNNNNNNNNNNNNNNNNNNNNNNNNNNNNNNNNNNNNNNNNNNNNNNNNNNNNNNNNNNNNNNNNNNNNNNNNNNNNNNNNNNNNNNNNNNNNNNNNNNNNNNNNNNNNNNNNNNNNNNNNNNNNNNNNNNNNNNNNNNNNNNNNNNNNNNNNNNNNNNNNNNNNNNNNNNNNNNNNNNNNNNNNNNNNNNNNNNNNNNNNAUAUCCAUGAAAUGAGCAGGCUUCUGAAUAUCUCGUCUCUGUCUUCUAACUGCAAUUGGCUCUGAUUGUUGUUGAGAUUCUUGGGUAGGAACCUCUUCCUCAUCUGACUCUUCUUCUGCCAUAGGAGAGUCACUUGUGGUAUUUCGUGUUGGGAUCACCACUGUCGGCUCAAACUCCACCUGUUGCGGAGUACUAUCAGCUCCUUCUGGAUUUACUUUCUUUAACAUGGCAGAUUCAUCAAAGGUAACAUCCCUGCUGAUAAUCGUCUUCUUUGCCUCUAGACACCACAAACGGUAUCCCUUCACUCCAGGACUAAAGCCCAUGAAAAGAGCUUUCAUUGCCCGUGGAUCCAACUUUGAUUCAAUCACAUGAUAAUAUGCAAUAGAACCAAAAACAUGCAAAGAAUCAUAAUUAGUUGCAGGUUUUCCAAACCAUACCUCUAGCGAGGUUUUGCCAUCUAUAGCAGAAGAUGGCAAACGAUUGAUGAGAUGUUGAGCGUAUGUCACAGCCUCAACCCAAAACUCUUUGUCUAACUCAGCAUUAGACAACAUACAACGAACUUUCUCCACAAGUGUCUUGUUCAUACGCUCCGACACCCCAUUAUGUUGUGGUGUUUUUCUAACAGUGAAGUGUCGAACUAUGCCACAAUCUUGACAUACCUUCAAGAACGGAUCACUCUUGUAUUCUCCUCCAUUGUCUGUUCGGAGAACCUUAAUCUUCCUUCCUGUCUGGUUUUCAACUUGAGCUUUCCACUUAAGGAAAAUUUCAAGCACAUCAUUUUUGUUCUUCAUAGUAAACACCCAAACUCUCAUGGAAAAAUCAUCCACAAAAGUGACNNNNNNNNNNNNNNNNNNNNNNNNNNNNNNNNNNNNNNNNNNNNNNNNNNNNNNNNNNNNNNNNNNNNNNNNNNNNNNNNNNNNNNNNNNNNNNNNNNNNNNNNNNNNNNNNNNNNNNNNNNNNNNNNNNNNNNNNNNNNNNNNNNNNNNNNNNNNNNNNNNNNNNNNNNNNNNNNNNNNNNNNNNNNNNNNNNNNNNNNNNNNNNNNNNNNNNNNNNNNNNNNNNNNNNNNNNNNNNNNNNNNNNNNNNNNNNNNNNNNNNNNNNNNNNNNNNNNNNNNNNNNNNNNNNNNNNNNNNNNNNNNNNNNNNNNNNNNNNNNNNNNNNNNNNNNNNNNNNNNNNNNNNNNNNNNNNNNNNNNNNNNNNNNNNNNNNNNNNNNNNNNNNNNNNNNNNNNNNNNNNNNNNNNNNNNNNNNNNNNNNNNNNNNNNNNNNNNNNNNNNNNNNNNNNNNNNNNNNNNNNNNNNNNNNNNNNNNNNNNNNNNNNNNNNNNNNNNNNNNNNNNNNNNNNNNNNNNNNNNNNNNNNNNNNNNNNNNNNNNNNNNNNNNNNNNNNNNNNNNNNNNNNNNNCAUCGAGUUCUUGAAAUUCAAAGAACCAUUCCUGAAUGGGACACAUAUGAUAGGUACAACCUGAAUCCAAUAUCCACUCAUCUGGAUACGAUGAUGCUGAAAGCGAGACAAUUAAAGAGAUAUCUGAUUCCACACCAUUUUUGCAUUCUGCAACAUUUGCAUCUUGUGGAGCCUUCCCUUUCUUCUGCAGUUUUGGAUAGUCUUUCUUCCAAUGUCCUUUCUCAUGACAGAAAGCACACUCAUCUUUGGCAACGGCUCGACCUUUAGACUUAGACCUCCCUCUUCUCCCCUUUGUUUGGCUUUGCUGACGACCUCUUGCCACCAAUGCUUCUUCUGAUGUCGUUGAUUUGGUUUUCAUCUUAUCCUGCUUUCUCAAUUCAUGACUAUAUAAAGAAGAACAAACAACAUCUAACGACACAUUCUCCUUCCCGUGAAGGAGUGUAGUCUCAAAAUGUUCAAAUUCAUCAGGAAGAUAUGAUAACAACAUCAAAGUCAAAUCUUCAUCGUCAAACUUCACAUCUAAAUUCAACAGGUCUGCUACUAAUUGAUUAAACAUAGUGAUGUGCAUUCAUAGUAGUACCUUGUUGGUAGUCAAAUUGGAACAACCUUUUCUUCAUCAGGAGCUUGUUUUGACCACUCUUCUUCAGAAACUUGUUCCUUCCACAGUUUGUGUGCAGAAGUCUCGUUUUUUACAGCAUACUUCUGCUCUUUGGACAGGUAGGAUCGAAUAGUUCUGCAUGCCAACUGGUUGAUGAUGCUCUAGUCUUUCUCCUCUACCUCUUCUGGUUUCUCUCAUUCAAUAACAAUAUCAUUUCCCUGUUGAAAAAGAGAGUCCAAGACCUCUCCUUGCCACAUGCCAAAAUGUCCAGUGCCAUCAAAUAUUUCCACCGCCAAUUUCAAAGUGGACACCGGGAACCUCGACCAUGAUGACGAGGAGCCCGACACUCUGGAUACACCAUUCACUUCUUCUUCUUGAUUUGCCAUUACAAACUCAAAAUAUAAUAUUCAAUAUUACAAAUAAUUUCAAACAACCCAAGGCGAACCUUCGGCUCUUGAUACCACUUGUUGGGAAAAACGGGUAAUUUUCCCACUAAAACAAAACCCUAACAGAGCUACCCGACAAAUAAUAUUGAAUGAAUAAAGCGGAAUAAUAAAAGAGAUAAAGAGGAAAAAACACACCCAGAAAUUGUUAACGGAGUUCGGCCUGUUUAGCCUAAUCUCCGAGCACAACUGAAAUAACCCGCUUUUAUUAUUAUGGGAGAAGAUAUUACAAAUUGGGAUAUCUAACAGAAGGAGGAGAGUUUAAUUUAUAACCCUCAAAACUCCUUCCCAAAAUAUGAACCCACCGAUGUGGAACUUGUGAUUAAGCCAAAAUCAACAAAUACAACAGAAUACGAUUACUUUAAUCCUUAAAAAAAAUCACAUUCUCAUAAAAAGAUAAAAUAUUCUAACAAUUAAACAAAAUAUCAUUUUUAUUAUAUCACUCAUACUUUAAAAAUGGUUUCCUAAGUAAUUUAUAGGUCUUACAUUAAGGAAUUUAUAAUUACUUACACGUUAAUGAGUCAAUAAUUAAGUUAAACUUAUGUAAUGUCUAGGUGUUUGAUUUAAUUUAUUCUAUUAAUAUUUUUGUAUUUUUUUUUCUUUUGAUCCUAAUUUGAAAGUCGUAGAAAAACAAUACAUACAAUAUUUUCAUAUUUUUACUUAUGAAUUAUAAAUAAAAGAAACAUACUUUUUUUAUUCUGAUGUUUUCUUUACAGAACUUUUUAGACCAAUUAAGAAAAGAGUGUGUAUGUGAAAAGAUGAUUUAUGAAUUUUGAUAGACACUUGAUGGUUAUGUGAAAUGUUUGAGAAAUUGUAUGAGAGUUUAUGAAUUUUGUGUAUCAAUUUGAAAUUUAAAUUAUAUAGACCAUUUUGUUAUAACUAGCUUACCCUGUUAUUUGUUUGUGUUUGUUUCUUUAUCUGUGAUGAUCGUGUUGUACACGGGAGCAUAUGAGAUUGCAAGUAAUAGAGCUCCUAAAUGAACAGCCGGAGGAUGUGAUAGUUUUAAUUUGAAUGCUCUCUUUGUUUUUAUAAAUUUUUUUAUGUAUAUAUUAAAAUCCCUACGAAAAGAGAUAAUUUUUUUAGAUACAAUUAUGAGAUAUUUAUAUAUAUUCAUAUGUUAAGUAGAUAGUGUUUGUUUUACUUUUAUUUUAUUAUAUAUGAAUAAAAAUUAUGAAUGUUACAUCUAACAUAUGAUUUACCGAAAUAAACUGAAGUUAAUUAAAUUAAAUUAGUUUCCCGUAUAUUUUGCUUUUCAAGCAAAAUACUAAGAAGAAAAUGAUGUCUUAACUUAUUUUCUGAAAACCUAAUUCAAAAAUUAAACACAUAAACCUAAACUAAGAGAUAUUCAUAUUUUCUGAUCGGAUUAUAGUUUCGAUAGAAAAAUCCAAUAUAUGCUAACAAAACAAAACACAAGGAGUUUGAGAUCUAAAAAAACCUUAUACUCAAAUCAAAAUUGGAUGAGUUCAAAUUCAUUAAAACUUUAUUAUCUUCUUCGUCUCGCACUUUAAAAGAAGAAUAAAAAAAGAAAAAUCACCUAUAAAAUAUAUAUAUAUAUAUAUAUAUAUAUAUAAUUCGAGUCUAAUCAACUAUGAUAUUAUUUGAGGGAGUAAUAAGAAUAAAAAAAAUAACAAUUAAACAACGAUGACAAUGCAUCCACGUUGAGACAAAGGUGUCAUAGCCACCACCACAGUACAGAGAUAUAGCAAGUUGAGACAAAGGUACUGAUAGAAUUUAGGUGAGAGAUGUCUUUUCAUUUGAGGAAGACAACACCAGGAACAUGUUUUUCCCUUAACACAGAAAUUCACAUUUAGUUUGAAUUUUAGUUGUUAUCAAAAGAUAUUUACAAAGGAUUAUUCAACACUUAAAUAAAAAUUCAAUAUUUAAAUAUAAUAAUAAUGUAAAAAUGUCUAUUUAUAAUACAUGAUUAAUCAUUUCAUUUCAAAUUUUGAUUAAAACAUGUAUCAUAAUAUAUUAUUUAAUUUCUAUAUGAUUUAAGUAUCAUUAAUAUACAUUUUAACUAAUAUAUAUCUUUAAUACGUCAUUAAAUUAUAGUGUGGAAAUGGGUUUAUUCGAAUGUGAUAUGGUAGAAGAGAAAAGAAGUUUUCAUCUAUCAAACUUUUCUGAUUCCACGAGAACAACCUUCUCAGCUGCUGCUUGGGUAAAGGGGCAACGUGCUUUUCUACAAUUACUUUAAGCUAUUUACAAUUCAAUAUAUAAUCUAACCAAUUUUUAAGAAAAUGGGGGCAAUAUUCUUACUUUUUAUAAAACAUUAUGAUAUUUUUUAAAAGUAUUUCGAAUACGAAGAAAUCAUAUUAAUAUAUACGAUUGAUAUAGUACUUUUUUAUUCAAAGUGAUUUGUGGGAUUUGAAUCAUCAGAAUUAAAUAUGAUUAGAAAAUGAAAAGAAAAGAUUCAAAUUAAAAGGAACCAGAUACUGAUUUAUAAUAUAUAACACUCUAAAACUAAAAAUCACUUUUUCUAGUCUAGUUGUAUAUUAUGGUAAGGAAACAUCUCUCUUUCCUAUAACACAAUUGAAAAAAUUUCAUAGCAUUUCAUUAAAUGUUAUAAAAAGUAGUACCUAAAUUGUAUAAGAGAAGAACACACACAACACUGAAUUAAAAAUUUGUGACUCUUGAAAGAAACCAUUUCCACGUAUGCAAAAACAACGAAUGAAGUGUGUAAUAGUUUUUCUUACUUUUCUAGUCAAAGUAGCAUAGUUUAAAUCUUUUUUGUAAAUGUGAUGAGACAUGCAAAGUGGUACUUAAAAGGCUAAACCUAAGUUUAAUUAGAAAUUUCCAUUUCUAAUUAAACUUAGGACCGGCCCAAUUUGACCCUAGAUGAGCGUAAGUUCUAGAUGAAUUAGCACAUGGAAGCAUUCUAGAAUCUUACCUCACAUGGGCUGAAAAUAGGCGCCACUUUUCACAUGUGCCAACACUUUGAAUUUGGCUCUCAUUUCAUUUGUAUUUGGCUCUUCAAAUUCCAGCCCUCCAAGCCUAUAUAAGGAGGUGCUUGGUUCAUGUUUUCACAAGAUUAUUUUGAGUAAUGAAAUGUUGCCAAAUUGUGUUAUUCUUACUCCCUUGCCUACAAUCUCUUAGAAUUUAGGUCUUAAUCUUCCAAAACUGCACCUCAAAGAGAGUUGGCCGAACCUCUCUCACUUUCACACUCUUCAUGCACCUCUAAGGCUUACACAACUCCUAGGAGAGCCUUAUUUCACCUCAAUCCAUGAAUGCUUCCGCCAAAACCACCACAAAAACCGCAAGAUGAAGAGCUCAAAGCCAUCAUUUGGUAUCUAGAGCUAUGGUCUUCAAGAGAUAAGUGUCUCUUUUCAUUUUUCUGUUUGAGUUCUUCUUAUUUUCAUGUUGUUCAUCUCUUGUUCAUGUUGUCUUGCUGUUUUUACAUUUUUAAUUUGAUUUAGAUGUUGUUCUAAGCAUUUCAAUCGGUAGAAAUUGUUCAAAUUGUUCUUGAGCACCUUAUUUUCAAUUUUUGUGUAGGAAUCUAUGGUGAAUUGUGUUGCUGUUUUGAUUUUAGGUUACUUGAGUCUUGUUUGAAUUUUUGUUCGGUGCAUUAUGAUGUUCUUGAGUCAUUUUAUUUUCUGAAUCUAUAUGUUUUGCCUAGUCAUGUAAUUCCUAGAAUGUCAACAAACCUUAGUAGUACUUUUCUUGAUUCAUUUGUUUCUUGUUUUGAUUUGAGUGUUUAAUUUGAAUUCUGACUUGAUUUGUUCCUUUGGUGCAUUUUUCCUUUUAGUUUGAGUUCAUAUUGUAUGAUAGAUCCAUACAAAUUCAUAUAACUUUCACUCCAUUGUGUUUUUGAAGUUUCUCUUUCUAUUUUUAAUUCCAGAAAUAGGAUUCCUCUGUUUUUACAAAUACUAUACUGGCUAUUUUGUGUUAUGAAAAUUAAAUACGUUAAAAGAAAAUUCUGAGAUUCUAGAUUUCAGUGGUUUGAUGUGUUAGAAAAAGAAGAAAAAAAGAAUCAGUCGAAAAGACAAAAUAGAAAAAAAAAAGAUAAAUCACACAAAAAAAUGUUCAUUCUGGCGCUAAAAUUGACUGUAAUUGGACAGUGAUUUUGAAAAAUUUAUCACAAUUAAUUGGUGCAUGUUUUUGGUGUGAUUCCAGCGCCAAAAGUUUGCUAAGAGAUUGAAUCGUUUUUGGUUAAAUUUUCAGAAGCAAAUUCAAAAUAGCCAACUCAACAUAAAUAUUUUAAGUCAUGCUUUAUGAACCUUAAUUUUCCAGUAGUGUUGUUUUGGUUUUUCAAAUCAAUUCUAGUGCCCAUCUUUAGGUUCCUUUUGUGUGUCAACCUUUGUUAAGUGCCUAUUUUUUUUAUUUGCUUGUCCAAUAUCAUUAUGAACUCCUUCUAAGUUGUGUCAUAUCAUUAAUUCCUGUUUUUGUGGUACUUUUCAAAUUUAAUUUGUUUCUUGCUUUAUUUUCUUGACCUCUAAAAUUGUUGGUGGAAGAAUUUCAAUUGGUGCUUGCUAAGUGGAAAUUGACUUUGUGGUAAGUCUAGCUCUACUUAGUAGGUACUGUUUUGAAGAAUUUAAUUGCUUAAAUCAUAAGAGGUUAAGGCAAGGAGCAACAACAUACACAAAUACCAAAAACCAUACACUUUGAAGAGCACAACAAAGAAGAGCAAGAACAAGCCAAAGGAGUGCAUAGCUUAGAAAGCUGAAAUUAAAUUUGUGCAAUUCAAUUCCUUUUCAUUUCUUAAGUUGUAAUUACAUUUCACUUUUGCUAAUUAGUGGUUAGACGGUGAGUGUGUCUUCAAAUGCUCAAAGUGUCUAAGAAGCCUCACUUAGGAAGCGACUAGUUUAAAGCUUUGUAGAUUAACAAUUUCUAAUUGUGUUAGCUAGAUUGUUUUACGUUAAUCCUUGUUUAGCUUUGCUUAAAAUUGCUUACGUUUAUCUUUUGUUUAAGCUUUGAUUAAUUGCUUUAUUUGUUAAAUAGCUUUGCAUUGUUUUUCCUUGCAUAAAAUUUGAUUUUUCAUUCCUCAUUAUGUUCUAAGUAAUUUACUUAGAAAAAGAAUUGUGUGAAGUUUUUUAGGGAUAGUUUUUGACUAAGGCAAGACUUGGUACUUAAGAAGUCCUUAGUGACUCACCUCUCUUACCUGGAAAGCUACCUUCACUAACUUUCCUCUUCUUUCUUGAAGUAAAACACUUUUAAACACAAAGUUUUAGUCAUGUCUUCUCACUCCUCUAAAUCUAAUGAAAGUGAUAUGAAGUCCAUUAAAUCUCUUUUAAAACAACUUGCCAAGGACUUUCAAUUACUUUCAUAUAGACAAUUGGAGAAUGAUGCCAAAAUUAAUUAAUUGACUAAAGCAAAGGAUGAGAAUUCUCAAAAAUAAAAAUAAAAAAUACAUUCUCAUGCAUCUAGUUCCAAAGAUCAUGAUUCUCUUGGGGAGGGAAACCUUAGGAUUAAUGAGUUAUCAACCACCUCCUAGGAGAAAUAGAAGAAGAGAACAAGAUAGCCCAAGAGAGGUUAGGGUAGACCUACUCCAUUUUCAUGGAAAAGAAGAUGUAGAAGUAUACCUAGAUUGGGAAGAUCUUUCUCCAGCUCCACUUUGGCAGAGAAGCACAAGGAAGAGGUCUAGGGAGAGUAACUUGAAGGAAGCCAUGAUCAUGCAUUCAUGCAUUAACCAUCACUCUCUUCUCUAUUUAUACAACAACAAAUUCAAAAUCUUUCCAACUUUUUUCUUUCAUUUUAUUAUUCAACACCAAAUUAACAAUUAUUAAACAACGAUGCCAAUGCAUCCACGUCAUCAAAAAAGUAUAUGAAAUAAUUAGUUUAAAUUUAAAUACAUAUUUAUGGAGAGAAGCGGUUUGGCAGGUAGCAAUGGGAAGUGAGAGGAGGUGCUGAGGUGGCCGUGUGCAUGGCCAGUAGUGUCAUAAUGAGAAGAGGUGGGAGCUGAGGUGGCAGCAUGCAUGGCCCAGUGAUGUCAUGUGGGGAAUCAAAAAUUCUAAUUUCAUUUUCCCUUUUUUAUUUAAUGGUAUAUAUUAUAAAAUUUUAUAUUCACCGUAUUAUUCUUAUUUUUUUACUUUGUUGUAAACUACGAUGACUAUAUUAUACUACGUACAUGAGUAAAUGAUCACACAGGUAUGAGAGGAUCUUGAGAAUUUUAAAAUGUUUUCUUAAAAUUAAUAUUUUUUAAAUAUUUGUAUUUCUGUAAGUUUUAAUUAUGUAUUAGGAAUAUUUUUAAAAAUUUUAAGUUUUUACAAAAAUAUGUAUAACAUGUAUUAUUAUAAUUAGAUUUAUUUUUGUGUGUUAUAUUUAAUGUUAUCAAAGCAUUUCAUCUUUAUGAUAAUCUGACGGUAGUGAGUUUAUUGUGUUCUUCGUGUGUCUAAAUUUUUUGUUUAAUUCUAACUUCAAGACCUUGUUAAAAGUUUCUAAUAAUAUGUUUAAUAAAAUUGUUUUCUUGAAAUCUUGUUUGAGUGGUGAGGAUACACACUAAUGACUAUAGAAAACCUAAUUAGAAUUAUUAUAUUAAAAGUUUAAGUCUCUUAUAUUAUUAUUACAAUUACAACUAAAACUUAAUUAAUUCCGAAAAGAUCAGAAACAAGAAACAAAGAGAUAAGGACAUUUUUUUUAAUCUUUUUUCUUCCUUACCUUCCUUAAUCUCAAAUGAAACAUAAAUUUGUUUUGUUAACUGUUGUCCUCUUUUUCUGGUGAUGAGGAAAUAACACAUUUUCUAUUGAAGGAUCCUAAUUUCUCUUACAAUGAAUUUCUUUAUUUAAUAAGAAAAAAAUAUGAAAAGGUUUUUUUCUGUGUGUUUAUCAGGGACAUUGAAGCAUUUACUGGUAUAAAUUUGCAUCUUUUUAAAAUUGUUGAUUAUAUUAAUGGUGCCAUGAAUGAAAUUCACUUUGAGGGAUAUCAUGAGAGAUGAAGUGUAAAUCUGAAUAAUAGUCUAAAGUUGUGUUUUAUUAGUCAAGGAGACAAGCUGAAUUAAUUUAACUGAACCAUAAAAAUAAGUCAAUAUGAUUAGGACUAAUCAAAAUUUCAAUUCAAUGCUUUGAUAAAACGAAUAUCAAAGUUCAUUUAUGUUAUGAUUGAAUUUAAUUAUGACUUUGAACAAAAAUAAAAGUUUGUAUACAAGGUAUUGGUUUGAAUGAUGAAUUUGAAAGAGAAUUUAUUCACAAUUCAACAAAUCAAAGUGGAGUUUCAAAAGAAAGUUAAUUGGAAAAAAAGUUUAAAGUGAAGAAGUGUGAUUGAACGUAACAAGUAAAACUCUAUGAAUGUAAAACGAUCAAAAGUGAAUGCUUAAAGUAAAAGAAAGGAUUCAAAUCGAUAAAAGAAAUAUUGUAAACGUUCGAUGUUGUAAGCAACUGCUUUUUGAAAAGCAAUUCCAAAUUGGAAAAGAUUUAUUUUACAUCAUAAAGUAAAAACAUAACACUAAAUUAUAAUAUUUAAAAUUAAAAAAUAAAUUAAAUAUGAUUAAAAUAUUAUUUUAUUAGUUUGUGAAGUAUAUGUUUUUUUUACUAUUUGUGGUAUUAACAUAUCACCGCCCUUUUAAAUUCAAAAAUAGAAAAAUCAUUUAAAAGUUUCCAUCAUUUUAAAUAAAAUAAAAUAAGAUUCACUAAAAAAAAACCUGAGAAAAGAAAGGUAGUAUAACCAUAUUUGUAUUACAACUAAUUUUGUUGUUCUGCUAGAUGAACGAAAUAAAUUACCCAGUUGAUGAUUAAGGAAAAAAAUUUAUGAUCAAUUUAAGAUAUUAUUCAUUUUCAUUUUGAAGUUUUUAAAUUUCAUUACAACUUUAUCUUAAAAAACAUAUCGAUAAAUUAAAGAAAGAAUAUUUAAAAUGAAUUUCAACUAGACUUCUAAACAAUGAACUUUUUUAUAAAAAUAUACAAAACCAAAGUCUAAAACAAUGAUGAUCCAUAAAGGCAUACAUUUUAUGAAAAUAAUAUAAAUUUAAAUAUUAAAUUAUGAAUUUUAUGAUGUCGUCCUGCAAAACAUUGUAGCUUUAUAAAUAUUAGUAAACUGUAUAAUAUUAUUACACUGUAUUAAAGUCUUCAAAGUAUAUAAUUAAAUAAAUACUUCUAAAAUGAAAGUCCAUUUACUUUAAAUCAUACCAAUAAACACACAUAAAAACAUGCAAAUAUACUAAUAAAAAUUAUCUUCAUGCAAAUAACAAGAUUAUGUAUAUAAAUGUAAAUUAACUUAUUUAGUCACACAAUUAUGUCAUGACUAAAUGAAAAGUCAUUUGGAAGACUCUAAAAUAUAAUAAACAAAUCUUACUAGAAACUAAUAUUUGGCAUACAUUAGAAUAAGGUUAAAGUUUUUAAUGUUAGAGUGACAUAAAACAUCUACUAUCAAACUAUAUAUGUAUAUCUACUAUGAAGUUUGAUUUAAAUCUCAUUUAAAUUUUCACAAUCUGUCUAUGUGAUUGAAUAACAAUAAAGUCAUGAUACUUCUUGUUUAUGACCAUCACCCAAGGUAUGAUACCACCCUGAGUAUCCCUACACCGCCCUUUAAGGGUCAUGCACCAACCUAGGAAGUGUCACCAUAUCUAGAGUCAAAUUUUAUAUACAUAUAUACCACUUUAUAUACAUACAAACACAAACAAACAAACAAACACGAAGGAUCAAUAAAAAAUGGUAUACAUCAUACAUACAUUAUAUCAUUCAUCUCGACACCAAUUAUAUAUUUAUCCAGAGCAUAUAAAAUCAAUCUCACAUUUUAUACAUUAUACAUACCAUGUAUAAAGACAUAUAACAUAUAUAAAAUAUUCAAUCAUGACAUAACAUCAUCACCAUCACAGUAAACUGUCACUUGAGCGAAAUGCAACAAAAAUGCAACACCCUCUCAGGGCUAUUCUCGCUUGAGGGACCACCUCAUCGCUCAAGCAUUAGUCACACUUGAGUAACAUCCACUAUUAAGUUUUAGAGAAUCCUUCCACUGCUUUUGGUAGCUUGAGCACCCAAGAGCUUGAGUGCUCAAACUAGCAUUGGAGCACCCAACGAUCGUGCUAAGCACUAAUAUGUCCAUGACACGAAUGCACCACCUCAGCCAUGGUUAAGUAUCCACCACAAUCCUCAAGCCAAAAAAGCUUAAGUUCCUUCUCCAACACUUGAGUGACUGAUAGUUGUCAUUUUGUUGCCAAAUUAAAAUGGUUCCAGUGUAGACUUGUUUAACGCUAAAGAAAUGAAAUGAUAGUAUACAAGUGGUCAGAUGAUCUCAAAUAAUAAAAUCAGUAAAUAAAUGUUUAGAAUCUAUAUGUAAGUAAUAAAAUUUAGCACUAACAAUAUAAAGAUAAAAAAGGGGUCGAGAUAGUUGUGCAAAAAAUAUAAAAGAGAUUAAAAUAACAAUUAAAACGCGGUUGAUCCUCAAGUUCUUCCACCAUUGAAUUCUUCAUAGGUUCUCUAAAGAUUAAUCAUUUUUCAAUCCUCCAACAGAGCUAAACCAAAUUGAACAUGCGCCAGUCUAAUUCAACUGAAACUCACCAGUAAAACAUGCGUCUACUGAUUUAAUCAAUACUCACUUUGUUCCAUGCGUAUACUCUAUGAGAAUGUUUAUCUCAUCUUUCUUGAAUCAUGUGUCCAAGAAAUUAAUUAGAACAAUGUGAACUAACUAAGAAACUAAAAUUUAAGAUAAGGAAGACUCUCAAUAACGCGUUCAAGUACAACCUCUCAUAAAAAUCAGUUUUCCAAGAUAUUAGAAUAUUAAAACAAUUGCUAUAAAGAAUUAAAAAUCGAAACUUUUAUUGAAAAAAACCUCAAAACUCAAUGGGAAAUUAUAAAAGAAUCAACCAAAAAAGUUUAGCCUCCCAUGUGGAGGCAAAACAAAAUAAUUACAAGAAAAAAGAAACUAAGAAAAUGCUAUGAAACUCCCCCCUUUCUCCUUGAUGCUUGUCUCCUUUUAUAGGGCUUUAUGCUCCAAGGAUCUUGGAAAAAUAUUGUAGUUUAGAUUUUGUUAACAAUUUCAAAGUUUUUGACUUUCCAAAGUUCUUGUAUUUUUGCAGAAGAUUUGCUUCCAAUUCUGUUUAUGAGAUAUUGUAACUUUUAUUUUCUCUUUAUUCUUCUUAGAAUUUGUUUUCUGUUUUGAUUGAAAAAGUAACUUGAACUUUUGCAUAUUUGGUCCAUUCACUAAGGUAGACUCUUCCUUCAGACCAUUUACUCUAAAAACACAAAAUAAACAAAAAUAAUAGUUAAAGCCCAAAUAAACUUAAUUAUAUGAAUAUUAAUUAAAACAAUUGAUUUAUUUAUUAUUAUAGUCCAAUAAUCCAUGAUUAAAGUUAUUGAGUGUGAAUAAAUAUAUGUUCAUCAGUGAUAUACUUUUAGAGAAGAGAAUUGACUCAACAUCUAUGUCACUUGAACAACAAGCCACAACUUGAACUAUAUAAUAUGUCACUUGGAUAACCAACACAUUUCCUAAGUGAUAUAAGACAAUAAGUGUAAUGAUUACAUAACUUAGGUCUCUCUUGAGUGUCAAGUGAUCGUAAAGCAACCCCAAAGGGCUCAAACAAAGGAUUUCUCAAAGAUUUCCAAAUUGUAUGUGGAUUCUUACUUUCCCAUGUUCAUCAAAGAGUUAUUUUAAGACUUAUAUCCAACAAUGUAUCAUCACAACAACUCUUCUAACAUGCAUAUAUUUUACAUACUAUCAACCCCCAUAUAUUACAUACAACUAACAACUAUCAUAUUGUAAAAAAAUGACAUAGUAACUCCCCUUGUCUAGAUUGAAGUAUGCUCUCAUAAUAACCAAUACUUGAUAAAUUUUUCUAAGACUCUAAUGAAUCUAGAGAAGUUCUCAAAACAUCAUUUAUAUGAGCAAACAUUUCCUCUAAAUCAUUCAUACAAGUAAAGAAGAAGAGAAGACAAAAAGAUAAGAAAACUCAUAUAUGAUUGAGGUUACUUACCAAAACUAACUUCUCAUCAAUCCAAAACAAUUAAUACCUUACUAACUCCACAAACCUCAAUCUAGUAAAGAAUCUAUAAUUAAAAACUCAAUCUACUGGUUUAAUUAGUACCCACUUUGUUCCAUGCGUAUACUUCAUGGGAAUGCUUACCUCCCCUCUCUUGAAUCAUGUGCCCAAAAAAUUAAUUAGAACAAUGCAAACUAACUAAGAAAUCAAAGUUUAAGAUAAGGAAGAUUCUCAAUCAUGCGUUCAAGUACAACCUCUCAAAAAAUUAGUUUUCCAGGAGAUUAGACUAUUAAAACAACUGGUAUAGAGGAUUAAAAAUCGAAACUUUUAUUGAACAAAACCUCAUAACUCAAUGGGGAAUUCCAAAAGAAUCAACCAAAAAGGUUUAGCCUUCCAUGCGGAGGCAAAACAAAAGAAUUACAAAGAAGAAAAAGAAACUAAGAAAAUCCUAUGAAGCUCUCUCUUUUCUCCUUGUGUCCUUUUAUAGGCUUUUCUGUUCCAAGGAUCUUGGGAAAAUAUUAUAGUUUAUAUUUUGUUAACAAUUUCCAAGUUUCCAGAUUUCUUAUAUUUUGCAGAAAAUUUGCUUCCAAUUCUGUUUCUAAGAUAUUGUAGAUUUUAUUUUCUCUUUCUUCUCGGAAUUUGUUUCUUGUUUUGGUUCAAUAAAAAAUUUGGACUUUUAUAUAUUUGACCCAUUCACAAAGGUAGAUGCUUCUUCCGGAUAAUUUACUCUAAAAACACAAAAUUACCAAUAAUAAUAGUUAAGACCCAAAUAAACCCAAUUAUAAACUAUGAAUUUAUUUAUUAUUAUAGUCCAAUAAUCCAUAAUUAAAGUUAUUGAGUGUGAAUAAAUAUAUGCUCAUGAGUAAUACAUUUUUAUCUAUGUAUAUAAUUUGAUCAUCUAAAUAUAUGUAUCUUGGUUGGCUGGGUUUUAAUUGUACAAGUCAAUUUAGAUGGGAUUAUCAUUAAACAGAAUGAACUAAAAAAAAUUCUCAUUUAAAAUGGCGGCUUUUACCAUAACUGUAGUUUUAUAUCUUUCAAGAGGGUAUAAAAUGACGACUUUUUACCAUAAUUGCCGUUUUAUAUCUUUCAAAAAGAUCUAAAACGACGACUUUUACCAUAACCGCGGUUUUAGACUGAAUAUAACACAACGAUUAUAUAGCCGUUGUCUUUGCUUAAAGAUAAUAGACUACAUGUUGAAAGACAACGAUAGAAGAACCGUUAUUUUAAUACUAAAAUGACCGUCGUGAUUUAACUUUUUUGUAUCAGUAAUUAUAAAGUUUUUUUUAGAGUGGUGGUGAUAAACAUAUAUCGAUUUGAAAUUAAUAGAGUUAGAAAGCAAGAAAAAAAAAUACAUGAAAAAUGUUAAAUAAUGUCAUAGAAAUAGAAAUGGAAGAGAAGUGUAAAGAAAUUUAAAUAAAAAUUAGAUGUGAGAGUAAGUUAGUUUAUAUUUCCUAAGGUUUAAUGUAAUUACACCAAUGUUACCUUUUUUUUUCUAUGUUAUACUUUAACUUAUAAUAAUCCUUUCCAUUAUUAUAAACUUUUUAAAAAUUACAUAUUUUUCAAAUUAUGCACUAAUAAGACGCAUGGUGAAUAAUAAGCAGUGUAGAUUGUGUAAAUAUAUGAGCUUCCAUUUUAUUUAUUUUAGUUUGUGUGACAGAUGAACAUUAUUAGCAGGAAAAAGAAGAAUGAGACUGUCACAGUGAAGGUGGUUUUUGGAGUCUAGAGGAUCUUGUUGAGGACGAUGUUGGAACGUUCAGAUUUUUGGUCCUUAAGAUUGAUGAACUUGGAAGAAAAAGACCAAGAGAGGACGUCGUGCGUUUCAUAGCUCCAUUGAUAAGCCCCUGAGGUGGCAGAGAACCCAACGCUCACCCAGUCGUAAACUUCUUUCUCCAGCUCCACUGUGGUAGAGACGUUGUUGCUCUUUCCCGUAGAAGGGUUUGACAGAGAAACCGAGAAGACCUUCGUGGAGGAGUUAUAGGUGAUCCGAACCUCGGCGUUUUGUCCGUCGUAGUCGUGUACAUCCCAAGGCACGCUUUUGAUAUCGUUGUUGUUCACGUCGAUGCUAAUACGGCUGAGGAAGGUGUCGAACUCCACAGUCACAGUAUCGCCUUUGGAUUCGGGCUGGACGGGGACGAGAACAAAGUCAAGGCCAACGGCGGAAUUUGCUUGGCGGUGAGUGCGGAUAUUCAUUGUGAAGUUGGUGUCGAAGCUGGCGACGUUGCCGGUGGUGCUGUCCCUGAUUUGGAUGGGGGCGGAGUAGAAGGCUCUGCUCAUAGAGUCGUAUGAAUUAUAGGAUAGUUGUAAGUUGCCGUUGGAUGAGACGGUGGCAUCGCCUUGAAGGAUAAGGUUGGUUUUGUUGAACGCAUCGAUGAUGAAGGAGGUUUCGGUGGCUGAGUUUGCGUGGCUGAGAAGCGCAAGGAAGAGGGCUAGGGAGAGUAACUUGGAGGAAGCCAUGAUCAUGCAUUCAUGCAUUAACCAUCACUCUCUUCUCUAUUUAUACAACAACAAAUGCAAAAACUCUCUACUUUAUGCAUUUUUUUUUCUUUUAUUAUAUUAUUUGAGGGAGAAAUAAGAAUAUAAAAAAAAAUUAAGCAACGAUGGCAAUGCAUCCACGUCAUCAAAAACAAUGAAAAAAAUAUGAAAUAAUUAAUUUAAAUUUAGAGAGAGAUUUAUGGAGAGAAACACAUAGCAUUGAGAAGUGAAAGGAAGACACAUGUGAAGAGCAAGGAGCUGAGGUGGCUGCAUGCAUGCAUGCAUGGGCAGUGGUGUCUUAGUGGGAAGAGGAGAAAGCUGAGGUGGCAGCGUGCAUGCAUGCAUGGGCAGCGGUGUCAUAGUGUGAAAGCCGCAGUGGAAAGUGAGAGGAAGGUAGGUGUGAAGAGGGAGCUGAGGUGGCAGCGUGCAUGGCGAGUGUCGAAGCCGCCGCCACAGUGCAGAUGGUACAACUUUUGUCCAUCGUCGUCUUUCUCAUCCAAGUUCCUCUUUAUAAUAUCUUUUACCAAAUCAUAUUUUAAAAUAAAUUAUUUUAAAUUCAUUUUAGUUUUAAAUAAAGUAAUAGUAUAUAUAUAACAAUAUAGAAUGGGUAUCAUUUUCUAAUUUUAUAUUUUAUAAUAUUAAAAUAUAAUAAAUUUAAUUAUUAUUUAUUUUGAAUUGAAAAUUUAGAAAAAAUUGAAAUUUAAAAAAAAAUAAAGAACUCAAAUUUAACACUUCUGUAAAUAAUUUUUUUUUAAAAAAACUGUGAAUAUGUUCAAAUAAAUCCAUAAAUAUUAACUUUUAUUUGGUUUUUUAUUUAAAGAAUAAUUUAUUCUUACUAUUAUAUUUAAAAUUAGAGUUUUUAAUCUUUUUAUAUAUAGUAAAAUUUAUAAUAAUAUUUAUAUAUUAUUUCAAUAAAGUUAUAAUAGAGAAUUUUUUUCCGCUUCAAACUCUUGUUGUAAUUGUUUGUAUCAACAUGGCGUUCCUUGCUCUCCCGACUAUUCUCCUCUUCUAUUCAUCUAAGGAGUUCAUUCCAUUGAGGGGGUUGUGUCAAGGAGAUCCGUUAACACCAUUUUUGUUUCUAAUUGCGGUUGAAGGUCUAGCAUGUGUGUAUACGAGAAAUUUUUUACUAAUAGUUUAUUCCAACCCCUUGUCUAGUUGCACGAACACGACCACAAUGCUUAGGUCGUCCAAUUGCUUCAACCAAGACGACCUUAAGGAACAAAAUUACCUUGGGAUUCCAAGGAAUCCUACAAGAGACAAAAAUCAUAGCAGUUUUUAAUAUAGUGAAUGCUUUAAAAUAAAUGAAAAAAGGCUAAAAAAUAACUUGCAAUUUUUUCGAUGAUAACCCCUGAUUGCUCAAAACUUGGUGCACCCGACUUUCGAAGUCGAAAAUUGCAUUGACUCGGCUUCAAGAGUAAAAUCAGAAUUUUGAACUAUACUCUUUUCAUCCAUAGACUUCGAGUAAAAUAUACAAUUAUUCCCUUCGUAUGCUUUACAAGAAAUAACAUCAAGCUUCAAUCCAGUCAACUAGGUCAAGGUCUUUGAUGUUGUUGAAUACUUUAACACCUCGUCUUUAAACCAAGGCAUGAAAGUUCUAUUAUGUUCCAUCAAGACCCAUUUCUCUUCUUGUCUUAGGUUAUUUGCCUUCACAAUGACUUUAUGAGCUUCUAUGUAAGAUAUAACUUCAUUUGUGUUAUUCAAUAUAUACAAAUGUGUUUGCAAAACUUCUGAUCGAAAUUUGCUUACAAUAUUCACAUCACGUAAACAUUUACUUGUAGAACAUCCAUGGUGCCAUCACGUUUUGUAGAACGAAGGUGCCAUAAAUUAGCUGAAAGACCUAUUAAAUGAACUCCCAUUUUAUUUAUUAUAGUUUGUGUGACAGAUGAACAUUAUUAGCAGCAAAGAAGAGUGACUAUAAGUAGCGUUACUAUGAAAUUAUUUGGGAACAUUGUUUGGCCUAAAAAAAAAUGUUAAAGCAAAGUACAUAGUCGUAAAAUCAGAAUCAUGUGAUCAACGCAUCAGAUACUUGGAAGAAAUCUUUGAAUAUCUUAGGUGAAUGAACAUGCCGCUUAACCCAAAAAGUGUGCGCGUUCAGAUAUACAAGUUAUUGAGAUUUAUACUAACCCAUCGAAAUAUCCAGACAAAUGUGGGGCGAUGGCGAUAACAACAUGAUAAAAAAUACAAAAAGAGUAUAAUAGAGUAAACUCCAUGAUGGUAUUAUUUUGGAAAACUUUUCUUUAACAGUCCAAAGUUUGGAGUAAAAAACAAACAUUUGACAGCUCCUUUUAAUAAUAUAAUAAUAUAUGAACUUCCAUUUUAUUUAUUUUAUUUAAAAAUGAUUUUUUAACACUCGUAUUUACCUUUAACCCAAUAAAUAUUAAUAUUUUAAUUAUUAUUUUUUAUUAUAUUUUCAUUAAGGAAUUAAGGAAGUAGAGCAAAGAACACUGAGUGUAAGCUAUCAUCACCCUAUUUUAUUUUAUUUUCUGUGACAGACAAAGAGAAACAUUAUUAGCAGGAAAGAACACUGAGUGUAAGCAGUGAUUUAGUGUCACAGGGAAGGUGGAGAUUGAGUCUAGAGGAUUUGGUUGAGGGCGAAGUUGCCAAGAUUCAAAGCUUCAGAUGUGGUGCCAUCGGAGAGCUUGGAAGCAAAAGACCAAGAGAGGAUGUCGUUCGUUUCAACGUUCCCUUUAGUAAUCCCAGUGGUGGCAGUGAACCCAACGAUCACCCACUCGGGAAGAACGCUCUUCAGGUCCACUGUGUCAGAGACGAUGAAGCUUGUUUUCAGAGAAGGGUAAACCAGAGAAGCCACCAAGAGCUUCGUGGAGGAGUCAUAGGUGAUCAGAACCUCCGCGUUUUCUCCUUUGACAAAAUCCCACGUCGUCGUUUUGAUAGACUUGAUGGAGUUCACGUCGAUGCCAAUAUGACGCGGUUUGGGGUCCCAGUGAACGUUGUAGAGGGUGUCGAACUCCACAGCCACAGUAUGGGCAUUGCUGUCGUAUUUGUAGUUGUUGAACAGACCUAGAAGACCGCCUUUGUCUUUGGGCUGAGAGCCCACGGGGAGGAGAACAAAGGCAAGGCCAUCGGCGGGUCCUGAAUUGUUGGGAACGUCGAUAUUGAAUGUGAAGGAGGUGGCGAAGCUGGCCACGGCGCCGGUGGUGUUGUCCCAGAUUUGGAUGGGGGCGGAGUAGAAGGCACGGCCCAGAGAGCUCAACGUGGGUUCUCCGUUGUCAUUAACAUUGGUUAGUCGUAACUGGCCUUUGGAUGAGACGGUGGCAUCGCGUUGGAGGAUAAGGUUGGUUUCGUUGAACCUUUGGAAGCUGAAGGAGGUUUGGCUGGCUGAGUUUGCGUGGGUGAGAAGCACAAGGAAGAGGGCUAGGGAGAGUAAGUUGGAGGAAGCCAUGUAUGCAUUCAUGCAUUAACCAUCACUCUCUUCUCUAUUUAUACAACAACAACUGCACUCUCUCUCUCUACUUUAUGGAUUCUUUUUUCUUUUAUAAUAUUAUUUGAGGGAGUAAUAAGAAUAUAGAAAUAACAAUUAAGCAACGAUGGCAAUGCAUACACGUCAUCAAAUACAUUGAAAAAAUAUGAAAUAAUUAGUUUAAAUUUAAAGAGAUAUUUAUAGAGAGAAGCGGUUGGCACGUAGCAUUGGAAAACACGGGUGAAGAGGAGGGAGCUGAGGUGGCCGCAUGCAUGCAUGCAUGGCCAGUCGUGUCAUAGUGAAAAGAGGAGAAAGCUGAGGUGGCAGCGUGCAUGCAUGCAUGCAUGGCCAGUGGUGUCAUGGUGUCAAAGCUGCAGUGGAAAGUGAGAGGAAGAUACGUGUGAAGAGGAGCGAGCUGAGGUGGCAGCAUGCAUGCUGCAUGCUGACUGUGAAACCCGCCACAGUGCAUAUUGUACUAACAAAGGGGUGUGACUACUUCUGGAUCUAGGCCGAGUCACUUGCGUCCAUUUUCGCCAAGUAUUGUGUGUCGCACACAAUAAUAAGUUGGCAAUUCAUCGACCGAAGGCUGCAGUCUUUUUACGAUGACCUCAUAAUCAAAUCCAUAACAGUCUUGGUCGAACACCCCAGAGGAACAAACAGGCCUAGGCUACCAAUAAUGUGUAAAUGAACUCAAGAAGCGGCUCAGCAGGUUAAAAGGCCGAUGGACUGAAGAAAUGUUAGAAGUCUUGUGGGCAUACCACUGCACCCCCGGACAACCAUGCAAGAAACAUCGUACAACCUGACGUAUGGCACGGAAGCAAUGAUACCGGUCGAGGUAGGUGAGCCUACCAUCCGAUGACAGUUGUUUGACCUGACCCUGAAUGAAGAGAGUCUAUCGGUUAGCCUGGACUUGGUCAGCAAACUUCAUGACAAGAGCAAAAUUCGAGAGGCGGCGUGCAAGCUUCAGGCGGCAACACGCUACAAUACAAAGGUCUGAGAUGUUUUUUCGUAUUACUUAAUUUCUAUCCAUCAUUAUUAUAUAUAAUUUUAUAUAUGGUUAAUGUUUUAAGAAUCUGUAAAAAUAUUUUUUCGUAUUACUUAAUUUCUAUCAAUCAUUAUUAUAUAUAAUUUUAUAUAUGAUAAUAAAAAAAUGUGUCUAAUUUUAUUUAAUAUUUAAUAUUUUAAGAAUCUGUAAAAAUAUUUGUUCUUUAACAUAAUCCAUACACAAUUAUCCAAUUUUUUGUUCUUUAAAACUAACACUCUUAAAAAAUUAUAUAUAAAAUUAAUUUUUAAAAUUACAUAACUUACUACCCAAUAUAUAAACAAUAAAAUUAAAAAAUAAAAAUUAUGACGUGGCAGAAGUCGUGUCAACUUGGCACGACUUUUGUAUGACAAGGCAAAAGUCGUGCCAAGUUGGUACGACUUCAGUAUGACGGGGCAGAAGUCGUGCCAAGUUGGCACGACUUCAGUAUGAUAGGGCAGAAGUCGUGCCAAGUUGGCACGACUUUAGUAUGACAUGGCAUAAGUCGUGCCUAACUGGUACGACUUCUGCAUAUGAAGUCGUCCCAAUUAGGCACGACUUGCCUAAAUUUAUAAUUUUUUUUAAACGGGCACCAUUUUGGUAAAAAAAAAAAAUAACCCCAUCAUGGUCAAUAAACCGUGAAACCUGCCACAGGGCACAACGCCAUUAUGCAGAUAAUGUUAAGAAGUGUACCAAUUAAUCUAUCACACAUUCUUCUCAACAUUGAUUUUUAAACUCGACCAAUACAGAAGAUCAAAGAAGAUUGAUUUUUUCUUCCAAAUAUUUUUCACAAAUGACUUUUUUUUUUUUACUUACUGAAGGUGUGAUCUAUGUUAUUUACCUUUUUUAUAAACCUCAACACCAGUUAAUGCAAUUGGUGGACCACUUGAUGGAGAUGUCCCUUCAUAGUUUUCAGAUUUUGUUGGUGAAUGGCGGAAGCAUCAUGGAUUGAAGACGAAGCAAGGUCCUCCUAAGAGUGGUGGUGACCUUGAAGGUGCAUGAGAGGUAGGGAUUGAGAGUGGUCAGGCCAACUCUACUUGGAAAGGGGAAAUUUGUGAAGAUUAAAAGCCUAACCUAAGAGGUUUAGGGCAAGAAGUGAAAUUGCCACAAUUUGGCAGCAAUUCACUAAGUAUAUUAAUCUUGAAUUUACAUGACCCAAGAACCUCAUUAUAUAGCAAGUGAGGGCUGGAUUUGACAAGAGAAUUGGAGGGAAAUUCAAAUGAAAAAGAAUUUGAAAUUGGCGCCUAUUUUACACUUAGCAUAUGGAGCACAUGAAGCAUAUUUAACAUGUGAUGGAAAACGUUUAGCACAUGUUAAAUAUGGAAUAUGUGGAAAAUGUGCCUUGGUUAAACAUAGCCGACCUUGGUUAAAAUUGGGUGUUUUAGAAAUCAUAAUUUAACCAAGGUUGGUUUUUAGGUGCCAAAUUUCAUUUAAGGAAAAAUUACAAAUAAAAUUUCUAAUCUAAUUUUGACAAGAAAUUAAAGUCUACUCUACACUAGAGUUUAUGGCAUUUGAACAUGUAAAAAAACGUCUUCUUGGAUCCUCUUGGCCAUAACUCUAGGGGUUGGCUUAAAUCUACCCUUUGGUGAGCUUACAUGUGGGCUUGUGCUUAGGCCUCUUCCAUCACCACUAGUCUCUUGGUGUCCAUUAAAGGCUUUUUUGAACCUCCGGUAAAGAUAAUGACUUUUAAGAAACCUCUGAUGCCAAAGAUAUACUGUAUUCCUUCCAUGUUUCAAUUGUUGAGAAGCAGUGUAUUCUUCGCAUAUUGGACAUGCUUUAUGACCCUUAACACUAUAAUAUACAAUCAUUAGGACAUGCAUGUAUCUUUUUAUACUCCAUACCCAUUGAACAAAGAAUCUUUUUGGCAUCAUAAUUACGAUUUGGUAGAGUAUUUCCUUCUGGAAGCAUAUCCUUCAACAACUGAAGCAAUUCUGUGAAGUUUUUAUCAGUCCAUCCAUUUAUUGCCUUCAAAUUCAUCAAUAUUAACAUCGUCGACAAUCGUGUGAAAUUAGUUGCUCCAGGAUACAAUGGAGUCUUUGCAUCGCUUGAAAUACUUCCAUAUUUAUGCACUUCUGCAAAAGACUGAGCUCCCACAUCAUGAAUCAUGUCCUUCAAUCGAUUGUCAUCUACAUCAUCAUGUACUUCAUCAUCCAUGGUGGACCCCACAUAUUCUUUAGUUACGGAAACAUGUGAUAAAUUUAACAAUUCACCAUGUCAUGUCCAAGUUAUAUAAGAUUUAAGAAACUCAUCACAUAGCAGGUGCUCCCUCAUUAUCAUAACAUCCAGUAUUCUUCAAUUUAAACAAUUAACGCACAAACAUCUGAUCUUUGCUCCAUCAUGACCACUAUUAAUCGUGUUAUGUUGUGCAAAUUGUAUAAAUUCUUCUACUCCUCUUUCGUACUCAUCACUUAUGCGAAGAAAAUUUAUCCAAUUUUGAUCCAUUAUAUUCUGAAAUAGUCAAUCAGGUGUUUUUUAAUCAAUGUUCUAUCUCACGCGUUUGUCAAGGGUCGAACACUCUCGGACUCAAUACCAACACGUAUCAAUUGUCGAGGGUGGAACACCCUCGGACUCAAUACAAAACACGAUAAUUCUAUUCAAAACUAACAACUAUCAUAAUAUAAAUACAAAUUAUAAUAAACACUAAAUAAUAUAAAUUUUAAAAAUACAAACUAUAAUAUAUAAAAAAAAUCAUAACAUUAAAUAAAAUUAAAAAAAAUAGAAAAUAUCACCAACGUUGUGUGUUAAGGCAAUGUUGGCCAAGAGUGACACGGCGAAGGCAGCUGACGCGGUGGUGAACACAGAAACAGCGACGGAACACACCAGAAACCAAAGAAAAACCCACGUAUAGAGAAGAAAGAAAAUAAGAAAGAGUGAGUGACACGCUUCCACGAAAGAAAAUAAGAAAGAGUGAGUGACACGCUUCCACGUAUAGAGAAGAAAAAAAAGAAGAAAGAAAAUAAGAAAGAGUAAGUGACACGCUUCUGAAACUAAGGUAAAAAUGAUUUACGAAUGCGACUAUUAGCCACACUCGUAACUCAAGCGCUUUGAUUUACAAGUGCGGUAAAACCAUGUAAAUUUAUUUUUAGAGUGGUGGUGAUAAACUUAAAUCGAUUUGAAAUGGAUAGAGUUACAAUUUUUUUUUAUCGACAAUAGAUAAAGUUAAAAAAUAAAAAGAAAAAUACAAAAAAAAUAUUAAAUAAUGUUAAAAAUAAAAAUAAAGAAAUUUAAAUAAAAAUUAGAUGAGAGAGUAAGUUAGUUUAUAUUAUUUCUUUAGUGAUUUAAUAACUGCAAAAAGAAGAGAGUAAAUUUAAGUAAUAUUUACUAAGGUUUAAUGUACUUUAAUCUAUGUUAUACUUUAACUUAGAAUAAUCCUUUUCAUUACUAUAAACUUUUUAAAAAUUACAUUAUGUACUAAUAACACGUGUAAACUCUAUUUUGGAAAACUUUUCUUUAACAGUCAAAGUUUGGAGUAAAACACAAACAUUUGACAGCUCCUUUUAAUAGUAUAAUAAUAUAUGAGCUCCCAUUUUAUUUAUUUUAUUUUCUGUGACAGAGAAACAUUAUUAGCAGGAAAGAACACUGAGUGAAAGCAGUGUUUUAGUGUCACAGGGAAGGUGGAGUUUGGAGUCUAGAGGAUUUUGUUGAGGACCAAGUUGGCGAGAUUCAAACCUUCAGAUGUGGUGCCAUCGGAGAGCUUGGAAGCAAAAGACCAAGAGAGGACGUCGUUCGUUUCAACGUUCCCUUUAUUAAUCCCAGUUGUGGCAGAGAACCCAACGCUCACCCACUCGGGAAGAACGCUCUUCAGGUCCACUGUGUCAGAGACGAUGAAGCUCGUUUUCUGAGAAGGGUAAACCAGAGAAGCCACCAAGAGAUUCGUGGAGGAGUCAUAGGUGAUCAGAACCUCGGCGUUUUCUCCGUUCACAAAAUCCCACCGCGUCGUUUUGAUAGACCUGAUGGAGUUCACGUCGAUGCCAAUAUGACGCUCUGUGGGGUCCCAGUCCUUGUUGUAGAGGGUGUCGAACUCCACAGCCACAGUAUGGAAAUUGCUGUUGCUGCCGUCGAAAAGACCUAGAAAACCCCCUUUGUCUUUGGGCUGAGAGCCCACGGGGACGAGAGCAAAGGCAAGUCCAUCGGCGGGUCCUGCAUUGUUGGGAACCUGUAUAUUGAAUGUGAAGGAGGUGGCGAAGCUGGCCACGGUGCCGGUGGUGUUGUCCCAGAUUUGGAUGGGGGCGGAGUAGAAGGCGCGGCCCAGAGAGCCCACCCUGGGUUCUCCGUUGCCAUUAAGAUUGGUUAGUCGUAACUGGCCGGAGGAUGAGACGGAGGCAUCGCGUUGGAGGAUAAGGUUGGUUUCGUUGAACCUUUGGAAGUUGAAGUAGAUAUCGUUG